rnacentral:rRNA from 1 species
CGUGGAUGAUGUGGAUUAAUUCGAUGCAACGCGAAGAACCUUACUACCCUUGACAUGUCCGGAACUUGCCAGAGAUGGCUUGGUGCCCGAAAGGGAAUCGGAACACAGGUGCUGCAUGGCUGUCGUCAGCUCGUGUCGUGAGAUGUUGGGUUAAGUCCCGCAACGAGCGCAACCCUUAUCAUUAGUUGCUACGCAAGGGCACUCUAAUGAGACUGCCGGUGACAAACCGGAGGAAGGUGGGGAUGACGUCAAGUCCUCAUGGCCCAUAUGGGUAGGGCUUCACACGUCAUACAAUGGUCGGUACAGAGGGUUGCCAAGCCGCGAGGCGGAGCCAAUCCCACAAAGCCGAUCGUAGUCCGGAUUGUUCUCUGCAACUCGAGAGCAUGAAGUCGGAAUCGCUAGUAAUCGCAGGUCAGCAUACUGCGGUGAAUACGUUCCCGGGUCUU